UACGUAGGGGGCAAGCGUUGUCCGGAUUUAUUGGGCGUAAAGCGCGCGUAGGCGGCUUUGCAAGUCGGGUGUGAAAUCCCCAGGCUUAACCUGGGAACUGCAUCCGAGACUGCAUUGCUAGAGUAUGGGAGAGGGAAGUGGAAUUUCAGGUGUAGCGGUGAAAUGCGUAGAUAUCUGAAGGAACAUCAGUGGCGAAAGCGACUUCCUGGACCAAUACUGACGCUCAUGUGCGAAAGCGUGGGGAGCAAACAGG
rnacentral:rRNA from 1 species